UUCAUCCUCACCCAACCCCUAAGAGCCUCGGAGCCCUUCUUCCCUCAUAAGUUGUAAGAACUUUGCUUUCAAGAGUGUGAAAUGAAGAACACAGACAGUAUAUCAGUGAAAAGAAUAAAGUGGCCUUUUAAUGAGAACUAAAGACAACAAAAACGUAGAUGAAGUGUACCGUAAAGACUGCUUCAAAGUGCAGCUCAAUCCCCUGAGAGCAACCAUCCCAUAGGCUGGGUAAUUGGGACUUUACUGCGCAGAGCUGGGGAACCCCACCACGGAGCAGGUUUCAUGGGUAAGAAAAUCUGGAGGAGAACAGGCGAUAGAGAUGAAACCACCCAAAGAGAGCAGCCUUCUCCCUGCCCUACACACACCCCGCUCCCCCAAUAUAGUUCUCCUUUUUUCCAAGGAACUUCAAGAGCUGGACAGAGCCCGAAGGAGACAGAGCUGAGUUCAGUGGCCACCAUUCUGCCCCGUAUUUCCCACGGAUCUCACAGAACGCAAAGCUCAGACCUCGGGG